AGUGAACGCUGGCGGCAGGCCUAACACAUGCAAGUCGAACGGCAGCGGGUCAGUAGCAAUACUGAUGCCGGCGAGUGGCGGACGGGUGAGGAAUACAUCGGAAUCUACCUUGUCGUGGGGGAUAACGUAGGGAAACUUACGCUAAUACCGCAUACGAACUAUGGUUGAAAGCGGCGGACCGCAAGGCGUCGCGCGAUUGGAUGAGCCGAUGUCCGAUUAGCUAGUUGGCGGGUAAAGGCCCACCAAGGCGACGAUCGGUAGCUGGUCUGAGAGGAUGAUCAGCCACACUGGAACUGAGACACGGUCCAGACUCCUACGGGAGGCAGCAGUGGGGAAUAUUGGACAAUGGGCGCAAGCCUGAUCCAGCCAUGCCGCGUGUGUGAAGAAGGCCUCGG
rnacentral:rRNA from 1 species